CGGGGAACAACAGUUGGAAACGACUGCUAAUACCGCAGUAAACUGCCUAAGGGCAGGAAAGGUGGCCUCUGAAUAUGCGUGACCGCUUAUGGAUGAGCCCGCGUCUGAUUAGGCUGGUUGGUGGGGUAAAGGCCUACCAAGGCGACGAUCAGUAGCCGGCCUGAGAGGGUGAACGGCCACACUGGGACUGAGACACGGCCCAGACUCCUACGGGAGGCAGCAGUGGGGAAUAUUGCGCAAUGGGGGAAACCCUGACGCAGCGACGCCGCGUUGAGCGAAGAAGGCCUUAGGGUUGUAAAGCUCUGUUUUAGGGGACGAAAGCUAUAGGGAGAAAUAUGCCCUGUAAAUGACGGUACCCUAAGAGGAAGCCCCGGCUAACUACGUGCCAGCCGCAGC
rnacentral:rRNA from 1 species